GAAGCUGGAAUUGCUAGUAAUGGCAGGUCAGCAUACUGCCGUGAAUACGUUCCCGGGGCCCUUGUACACACCGCCCGUCACACCAUGAGAGUUGGAAAUACCCGAAGCCUGUGAGCUAACUGUAAAGAGGCAGCAGUCGAAGGUAGAGCCAAUGAUUGGGGUGAAGUCGUAACAAGGUACC
rnacentral:rRNA from 1 species